CCCGACUCUCAGCCGUGCCCCCGACCCCCGAGCCAGCGCCACGUUCCAUGCCCCCGACCCGACCAGUUCCGGCGCCACGCUCCAUGCCCCCGACCCGACCAGUUCCGGCGCCACGCUCCAUGCCCCCGACCCGACCAGUUCCGGCGCCACGCUCCAUGCCCCCGACCCGACCAGUUCCGGCCCCACGCUCCAUGCCCCCGACCCGACCAGUACCGGCCCCACGCUCCAUGCCCCCGACUCGGCCAGUCCCCGCUCCGAGACUCAGGCUCCCUCCCUCCCAUCCCAUGGUCCUCUCCCACCCUCCCGUUGGUGAUUUGAGGGCCGUCUGGGAUCCGGCCCUUGAGGGGGGGGCUACGGGGUGGGUUAUGGGGGGGGCUGAGCCGCCGCCAAUUGCGGAGGUGUUCCGUGUCCCCGAGCCGGAGCCGACUACGGAGGUGUUCCGUGUCCCCGAGCCGGAGCCGACUACGGAGGUGUUCCGUGUCCCCGAGCCGGAGCCGCCGACUACCCAGGAGGUGUUCCGUGUCCCCGAGCCGGAGCCGCCGACUACCCAGGAGGUUUCCCGUGUCCCCGAGCCGGCGCCGCCGACUACCCCGGAGGUUUCCCGUGUCCCCGAGCCGGCGCCGCCGACUACCCCGGAGGUUUCCCGUUUCUCAGAGCCUGCCAUUCCUGAGACGUUCCGUGCCCUGUGGUCACCGCUCCGGAGCCGGCGAAAGGACCGCCCGCCGGGCCGACCCCCAGAGGCUCCCCGCUCGUCUGGCCGCCCGCCGGGCCGACCCCCAGAGGCUCCCGGGUGGUCCGACCAACGUCUCGGGUUUCCCUCCCCCCCUCCCCUUGUUUCGCUCUAGUGUGAGCCGCCUGGAAGUCGGCCCUUGAGGGGGGGGUACUGUCACGGUGUGGUUCACUUCCUGUCUUAUUUUGUAGUUUUCUGCCACUCGUGUCCCCGGGUAACUUCACUUCCUGCCUUGUCUCGUCAUCCCCUGUGUUCGUCUAAUAGUUUCCACCUGUGUCCAAUCACCUGCACC
ensembl:lncRNA